rnacentral:rRNA from 1 species
UACAGGGGGUGCAAACGUUGCUCGGAAUCAUUGGGCGUAAAGCGCACGUAGGCGGUUCGUUAUGUCGGAUGUGAAAGCCCUUGGCUUAACCGAGGAAGUGCAUCCGAAACUGGCGAGCUAGAGUACUAAAGAGGAUCGCGGAAUUCCCGGUGUAGAGGUGAAAUUCGUAGAUAUUCGCAAGAACACCAGUGGCGAAGGCGGCUCACUGGCCCGAUACUGACGCUGAGGUGCGAAAGCGUGGGGAGCAAACAGG